rnacentral:rRNA from 1 species
AGAGUUUGAUCCUGGCUCAGGAUGAACGCUAGCGGCAGGCCUAAUACAUACAAGUCGAACGGUGAUAGCAAUAUCAUAGUGGCGCACGGGUGCGUAACACGUAUGCAACCUACCUAUUAUUGGGGGAUAGCCUUUGGAAACGGUGAUUAAUACCGCAUAAUACGAUUGACUGGCAUCGGUUGAUUGUUAAAGCUUUGGCGAUAAUAGAUGGGCAUGCGUCCAAUUAGUUAGUUGGUUAGGUAACGGCUGACCAAGACGAUGAUUGGUAGGGGAUCUGAGAGGAUAAUCCCCCACACUGGCACUGAGAUACGGGCCAGACUCCUACGGGAGGCAGCAGUAGGGAAUAUUGGGCAAUGGGCGGAAGCCUGACCCAGCCAUGCCGCGUGCAGGAAGAAGGCGUUAUGCGUUGUAAACUGCUUUUUUAUAGGAAGAAGGAUCCCUUGCGAGGGAAGGUGACGGUACUAUAAGAAUAAGCACCGGCUAACUCCGUGCCAGCAGCCGCGGUAAUACGGAGGGUGCAAGCGUUGUCCGGAUUUAUUGGGUUUAAAGGGUGCGUAGGCGGUUUAUUAAGUCAGUGGUGAGAGACGGUCGCUCAACGAUUGCAGUGCCAUUGAUACUGGUAGACUUGAGUGA